rnacentral:rRNA from 1 species
GAUGAACGCUAGCGGCAGGCCUAAUACAUGCAAGUCGAACGGGUGGUCGCAACUCCACUAGUGGCGUACGGGUGCGUAACGCGUAAUCAACCUGCCCCGACCUGGCGUAUAGCUUGCCGUAACUCGGAUUAAUACCGCAUAUUCCCGCAUCCUGGCAUCAGCCAACGGGGAAAGAUUUAUUGGUUCGGGCUGGGGUUGCGUGACAUUCGCUAGUUGGCGGGGUAAGGGGGCACCAGGGCGACGAUGUCUAGGGGACCUGAGAGGGUGGGCCCGCACACGGGCACGGAGACACGGGGCAGACUACAACGCGAAGAAGCAGUAGGGAGUAAUGAGCGAGGAGCGAGGGCCUGAGCCAGCCAUGCCGAGGGCCGGAUGAAGGCCGUCUGAGGUGUAAACGGCUUUUCUCAGGGAAGAAAAAGACCUAGCGAGGGACACUGACGGUACCGGAGGAAGAAGCACCGGCUAACUCCGUG